rnacentral:rRNA from 1 species
GACGUAGGGCGCGAGCGUUGUCCGGAUUUAUUGGGCGUAAAGAGCUCGUAGGCGGCUCGUUGCGUCAACCGUGAAAACCCGGGGCUUAACUUCGGGCUUGCGGUUGAUACGGGCAGGCUCGAGUUCGGUAGGGGAGACUGGAAUUCCUGGUGUAGCGGUGAAAUGCGCAGAUAUCAGGAGGAACACCGGUGGCGAAGGCGGGACUCUGGGCCGAUACUGACGCUGAGGAGCGAAAGCGUGGGGAGCAAACAGG